rnacentral:rRNA from 1 species
GACGAACGCUGGCGGCGUGCUUAACACAUGCAGGUCGAGCGGUAAGGCCCUUUCGGGGGUACACGAGCGGCGAACGGGUGAGUAACACGUGGGUGACCUGCCCUCAGCUCUGGGAUAAGCCUGGGAAACCGGGUCUAAUACCGGAUAUGACUCCAUGACGCAUGUUGUGGGGUGGAAAGCCUUGUGCGGCUGAGGAUGGGCCCGCGGCCUAUCAGCUUGUUGGUGGGGUGAUGGCCUACCAAGGCGACGACGGGUAGCCGGCCUGAGAGGGCGACCGGCCACACUGGGACUGAGACACGGCCCAGACUCCUACGGGAGGCAGCAGUGGGGAAUCUUGCGCAAUGGGCGAAAGCCUGACGCAGCGACGCCGCGUGAGGGAUGACGGCCUGGUGUAACU